UCGAGGGGCAGCGGGGAGCAGCUUGCUUGCUCUGCCGGCGACCGGCGCACGGGUGAGUAACACGUAUGCAACCUGCCCUCCGCAGGGGGAUAACCCGGAGAAAUCCGGACUAAUACCGCGUGGUACACUUGUGGGGCAUCCCACGGGUGUUAAAAGGAAGUGAUUCCGGCGGAGGAUGGGCAUGCGGCGCAUUAGCUUGUUGGCGGGGUAACGGCCCACCAAGGCGACGAUGCGUAGGGGUUCUGAGAGGAAGGUCCCCCACACUGGUACUGAGACACGGACCAGACUCCUACGGGAGGCAGCAGUGAGGAAUAUUGGUCAAUGGGCGGGAGCCUGAACCAGCCAAGUCGCGUGAGGGAAGACGGUCCUAUGGAUUGUAAACCUCUUUAGGCGGGGAGCAAUGCCGGGCACGCGUGCCCGGAGGGAGAGUACCCGCAGAAUAAGCAUCGGCUAACUCCGUGCCAGCAGCCGCGGUAAUACGGAGGAUGCGAGCGUUAUCCGGAUUUAUUGGGUUUAAAGGGUGCGUAGGCGGAUUUUUAAGUCAGCGGUAAAAUGUCCGGGCUCAACCCGGGCCGGCCGUUGAAACUGGGGAUCUUGAGUGGGCGAGAAGUAUGCGGAAUGCGUGGUGUAGCGGUGAAAUGCAUAGAUAUCACGCAGAACUCCGAUUGCGAAGGCAGCAUACCGGCGCCCGACUGACGCUGAGGCACGAAAGCGUGGGGAUCGAACAGGAUUAGAUACCCUGGUAGUCCACGCAGUAAACGAUGAAUGCUAGUUGUCCGGUUCUUUGGGACUGGGUGACACAGCGAAAGCGUUAAGCAUUCCACCUGGGGAGUACGCCGGCAACGGUGAAACUCAAAGGAAUUGACGGGGG
rnacentral:rRNA from 1 species